GGUUACCAGGCCUCAUAACUCUGGCAAGAGCUUGACAUCACACAAGCUUUCAGAAACUUCACUGUGCAAAGUGGAAGGCAGUCACUGAAUUUUAGAUUUUGAAUACUCACGCACUUAAAUAAAACAAAGCCUUGAGAAAACCAGCAUCUGUAAUUUUAUAACUUUCACCAUCAAUAGUUUUGGGAAGGAGAGGAAAUGUGAAGGCCCCAUCAUCCACAACAUGUCCUCCUCUUGCUGCUGCCACCGUGAAGGAGGAACAGGAGAUUC